rnacentral:rRNA from 1 species
UAUGUGAUCGUCUCUCGCAUAUCAAUAAGCGGAGGAAAAGAAACUAACAAGGAUUCCCCUAGUAACGGCGAGUGAAGCGGGAAGAGCUCAAAUUUGAAAUCUUAAAGGGUUUCCCUUUACGAAUUGUAGUUUAAAGAAGUGUUUUCCUGUUGAGGUUUUGGUAAAAGUUCUUUGGAAUAGGACAUCAUAGAGGGUGAGAAUCCCGUAUUUGACCUUUACUUUCAACUUUGUGAUACACUUUCAAAGAGUCGGAUUGUUUGGGAAUGCAGUCCAAAAUGGGUGAUAAAUUUCAUCUAAAGCUAAAUAUUGGCGAGAGACCGAUAGCGAACAAGUACCGUGAGGGAAAGAUGAAAAGAACUUUGAAAAGAGAGUUAAACAGUACGUGAAAUUGUCAAAAGGGAAGCGUUUGACACCAGUGUUGUUUUUCUGAAAAUCAAUUAAAGAACUGUUUAUGCUAAGUUGUUUAGACUUUAUCAGCUAACUGUUUAGUUUUGAGCUUUUCUUUAAUGCACUUUUCAGUCAACAAGUCAACAUCAAUUUCUUUUGCUGUAAAAAAGCUUGAGGAAGGUGGCUUGAGAUUCGUCUUAAGUGUUUAUAGCCUCUUGCCUAUGCAGUCGGAGAGAUUGAGGUCUGCAGCGUAGAUCCUUCGGGGCUAAAUGCAUUUGUGCUAAGUUAUAGCAUUUUAUAGACAACUUGUUGACUAUGAUUUGUCUUGUAGCUUACUCGCUUAUGUUAUUUUACCUACGCUUAGGAUGUUGACACACGCGCGUGCUCG